ACACAAAGUAACGAAAAGAUAUUUUGCGUUCAUGGAUUGGAAGAAUUAUUAUUAUUACAAUGUCCAUUCUACCCAAAGCACUCUACUGUUUCAAUGCAAAUUUCAAAUGCAAAUUUCAGUCAAGAUACUAAUGAUGUUCUUUAUAAAAAUAGAAAGCACAAUCCUUAAAUUUAUACAGUAGCACAGAAGACCCAGAAUAGCCAAAGCUAUCCUGAGCAAAAAGCACCAAACUUGAGGAAUAAUAUUACCUGACUUCCAAUUAUAUUGCACAGCUAUGAUAAUAAAAACAGCAUGGUACUGGCAUAAAAA